UUCGUUACUUCUUUUUCUUUUCUCGGUGGCGUCGGUUGAAACAAAUAGAACAAAUGUGUAUAUGUGUGAUUUGAGAUUGUGCGUGAUUUAAAAGACUAAAAAAACAAUAAACAAAACCCGACCGCCAACAUAACCUCCAAUUAAUGGUCCAUGGAUA
rnacentral:sRNA from 1 species